rnacentral:rRNA from 1 species
GCAUAUCAAUAAGCGGAGGAAAAGAAACCAACAGGGAUUGCCUUAGUAGCGGCGAGCGAACAGGCAAGAGCUCAGAUUUGAAAGCCCUCGGGCAUUGUAUUCUGAAGCCUUGGUCCUGAGAAUAGGUGUUUAAGUCUUCUGGAAAGGAGCGCCAUGGAGGGUGAUAGCCCCGUACGACACCACUCUCAUUGUAGGACUUUGGCAUGGAGUCGAGUUGUUUGGGAAUGCAGCUCAAAUGGGUGGUAUGCUCCAUCUAAAGCUAAAUAUCUGCGAGAGACCGAUAGCGAACAAGUACUGUGAAGGAAAGAUGAAAAGAACUUUGAAAAGAGAGUGAAAAAGUACGUGAAAUUGUUGAAAUGGAAGGAUAGGCCGCUAACCAUGUAGGGUCGUGUUUGAGGGGAAGAUAAAAGCUGAAGAAUGUAGCUCCUCGGAGUGUUAUAGCUUCAGUCCAUAUUCCCUCUCGAGCGCGAGGAUCGAA